UCCAAAAUCGCCCUCCCGCACGGAGGAGCGGAGAUGGCCGUCCGUGCUCGCCAGCGGCGCGGUCGGCUGAAAUGAGCACGAGGUCCCUCGCCCCGUCGCGACGAGCGGUGGCCUAUGCGGGUCGGCGUUGGUUUGUGCGGGUCGAGCGAGGCCAAGUGUGGAACUUCAACCGGGCCACAGCGGCCUGCCAGCGUGUGGGUAAAAUGUGCUUGGCCCCUUUG
rnacentral:precursor_RNA from 1 species